AGCCAGGAACCAUGCGGGUAACCGCCGCCCAACCCCGCCAGGUCCGGAAGGAAGCAACGGUAAGCGGUUGGCUGCUGCGCCGUGAAUUCCCUGGUUACG
rnacentral:SRP_RNA from 1 species